CUCAAAUGAACUCCUUUCUAAACUGCAGUCAGGCUUCAGGAAAAAGCACAGUACCAUCACUGCUGUUACAAAAGUAAUUAAUGACAUACUUGUCGCUCUUGAUAGAAAGCAAUUCUGUGCAUCACUUUUUCUUGAUCUGUCGAAAGCUUUUGACACAGUGGACCAUGCUGUUUUAAAGCAAAGGCUUCUUUGUCUGGGAUUGUCUGAUUGUGUAGUUUCCUGGUUCAUGAAUUAUCUGAGUGACAGGACUCAGUGCAUUAAAUGUGAUGGUCUAUGUUCUGCAUUAGUGAAGGUCCACAAGGGAGUGCCACAAGGCUCAAUAUUAGGACCUCUCUUGUUUAUUAUGUAUAUAAAUGAACUUGGCCACAAUGUGUCGGAUGCUAAUAUGCAUUUCUAUGCUGAUGACACGAUUAUUUAUUGUUUUGGAUCGUCCCCAGCUAAAGCGGUUGAAUCUUUGCAGAAAGCUUUUGAUGUGGUUCAACGUACGCUUAUGCAGCUUAAACUGGUUCUCAAUGCUGAUAAGACCAAACUGAUGCUGUUUAGAAAUACUAAGAAGGUUUCUCAAGCUCCUCCUCCUGUGUUCACUUUGACUGGAAGUGUCAUAGAGGUGGUUCAUUCUUAUAAGUACCUUGGUAUCUGGCUUGAUGAUGCUCUCACUUUUAAGCCUCAUAUAGACAACCUUGUGAAGAAACUCAAGCUUAAACUGUCCUUUUUCUUUCGAAAUAAAUUUUGUUUUUCUUUUAAAGCAAAAAAGCAGCUAGUCACUGCAACAUUUUUAUCUGUCUUAGAUUAUGGAGACCUGGUGUAUAGGACCGCUUCAGCACAAUGUCUGUAUAAGAUUGACACUGUUUAUCAUGCGUCUCUGAGAUUUAUUACGAAUUGUAAAAACUUGACCCAUCAUUGUGAAUUAUAUUCCAGAGUGGGAUGGCCAUCGUUGUCCAACAGGAGAUCAGGGCACUGGCAUACUUUUAUCUAUAAGGCCAUGCUUGGUCUUUUGCCAUCCUACAUCUGUAGUUUAAUAACAUGGAGAAGUGUUAGUUCUUAUUCAUUGCGAUCAAAUGAUCACUUGCUGCUCAUUGUUCCAUUUGCCCGUACAGAACUGGGAAAAAGGGCUUUUGUCUACUCAGCUCCUUCUGCAUGGAACUUAUUGCAAAAAGACUUGAAAUUAUCUGAACUUAUUUCCUUAAAUGCUUUUAAGUCCAGAUUGAGAGAACCAGAAAUGACCUGUUUAAAUUGUAAAUGUUUUUAAUUAUUUGUAUUGCAUAACUUUCAUAAAUGUAAUUUACUGUGUUUUUGCUGCCUCUUGGCCAGGACUCCCUUGAAAAAGAGGUUUUUAACCUCAAUGGGACUUUCCUGGUUAAAUAAAGGUUAAAUAAAAUAAAA
ensembl:lncRNA